UAUGUUCUGUCAAUCAUUAUUCUACAGGUUAUUUUAAGUGUUGAGGCUGUCAACUCAUAUAUUGCAUGGGAUUUCUCGUUGCAACAAGGGGCCCUCAGCACACUGCUGGAUAUUGGCUUUCAUGUGGAGUACAUAAGCCCGUCACGGGAGAAAACGUUGAUUCUUCCCUACCGACGUUAUGAAGCUGACCAAGGUAACUUUUGCACUGUUUUCGCUGGAUCGUACAAGCUUGUAUGGGACAACUCAUAUUCAACAUUCUUCAAAAAGACUCUCCGGUACAAGGUGGAUGCAGUGCCUCCGGUCACCGAGACAGAGUAGCCGUGCAGAUGCAGCCGAAGCCCUUAUACCAUGUUGUAACCUUAUUCUUUUGCCGACUGUGUUGCAGCAAUUCUAAUCUCGAGUUUCAACUACACGUGGUAGCCCACUGGUGUAUGAGCGCAGAAUAUGUAUCUUUCUGUGCAAAUAUGUUUACGAUGACUUGCUGAUGCAUGAAUGCAUCUGUACUAGAAGUAUUACUUUUUUUUAUGUGUUUAUAAUUUCAGAAUUAUGGAUGUGCCUAUUUUCCUGAUUGUCCGAUUUAUCAGAAUAUCUGUUGGACCUUGCAUUUGAAUCUAAGAGUCGUCUUCAUUUA